CUCCCUGCACAGAUGUGUAGAUACACUUCACCCUCCAGACUAAUUGAAUCUACGUCUCCACGGCCUGCCUUCCCAGAAAGGGCAGAACCAGCUGCUCUGACUCUGGCUUUUUUUUUUUCUUCCUCCAUUUUUCCAUUUUGUUUCUGAUGAAAGCCUGAUGAGAGCCGAGCUGUGCAGUGAAUGGUCGGCCGUCAGCCUUUCCAGCAGGGCUCCUCCAGCUGAGGGGAGAGCGAGGGUCUGGUGUCCAGCUGUUCUCUCACCCAGGAGGACGGAAACCUCCCUCAGCUGCAGGGAACUCAGUCAACCUGAGCUUCUCUUAUCCCAACAAACAUUUGUUCAACACAAGCCCAAAGAAGGACAGAGGUCUGUCUGUCCGUCCGUGUGUCCGUCCGUCUGUUGACCAAAAUACUCCAGAAUAGGUGCAGGAGCAGAGGAAUGAGGAGAAAAAUGUGAGCGUCUGAAGUUCGAGACGUGGCUGAGGAGCGAGCCAGAUUUUUCACACCCGUCGACUCAUGUAGAUCCCACCCAGGCUCCUCCGGGUCGUACGGGAGGCGGAGGCUGCAGGAGAGCUCAACUCCUCCGAGCUGGAGAGCAGCAUGGAAACAGAGGGAGUGAUUUCUCCUGCAAGACUAAAUAUUCCCUCCUGAGAGGACGAGGGUCAGGAGCAUCAUCAGGAAUGUGAUAGAAAAUUCAUCAGCUCUGGACUCCACUGUCUCUUUAUUUAGGAUGAGGAGUCAGACAGGGACCUGCUGAUGCUUCCUCUUCUUCAUCGCUCUGUGAUGAUGAGGUCAGGGCCAUAGUCAGGGACCUGAGAUUACGAGGGCGUGUUCUCCUCCUCCAGAUAUCCUUCCUUGACAACCAGGAAGCGGAAAGCUCCAGAAAAACUUUUUUUAACUGUCCUCCAUGACCAAGCAUGUGGGAAUGUGAAGGGAGGAACUGAUUAGACUGAACGUCUGGUCUGAACGUCGAUGCGCUCUUUUUUCUGAUGGGAAACGACGAGCUGCAGAUCAUCUCCGACGACCUCCCUUCAGGGCACAGACUUUUUUUUUUCCACCAGUCUUACGCAUGAGGAGUCAAACGAGAAGCAUUCCAGCACAUUUCAACAACUGCCUGUGUUAGCGUUUCCCUGAUCGCCUCCAAAACCAGAGUUUCCACAUGAAGCUUCGUUUACCAAAUAUAAAUAAUCAGGUUUUAAUAAACUCCAUCUUGGUUUUAAAGACCAAGAACCACAAGAAAAUAAAAUAAAUUCUUCCACAGUCAUGAGACUAUUUACAAGAUGGAUGUUUGGAUUGAAAAUGUGUAAUAACCAAACUGUGGAGCUUCUCUUACUGAGAACAUUGUGAUGACAAGACUCAAAACUUUAGCUGCAACAAAACAAACUGUUUGCUCUAUAAUGUUAUGUACUUUUAUCAAAGAGUUUGUGAAAACCAGGGGAAACGAUGACUUUGUAAACAUUAUUGAAGUUUUAAUGGCACAGAGAAAGAAUAGAAAUAA